GGUUUGUUGAGCUGUGUAGUAUCAAUUUUUUGAGUUGGGGGGAGAUGCAGAUGGUCUU
rnacentral:tRNA from 1 species